UCUCCGUCACCCAGACAUCAUUCGUUGUUCAGAGGCUCUUUAGUUAUUACUGCUCAGUGAGGUCGAGUUUUCUUCGCCAUGGCUUCCUACUUCACGCUGCUGCUGUGCAUUUCUUUGGCGGUUGUCACCGUUUCUGGACUGGACUGUCGCCCUUGUGAAUUAGUACUCUGCGGAAAUGCUGUGCCAACUGGGUGCCAUUAUGGGGCAGUACAUAGCCCGUGUAGAUGCUGCUUGGAAUGUGGUAAGGGCGAGGGUGAAGAGUGCGGUGGCCCUAGAGACAUCUUUGGCACCUGCGCAGAAGGGCUGAUCUGUCACGGGGGAUACGGCACGGAGAAACCAGGCCAUUGCAAGGCCCGGCGACCCUACGGCCGGAAAUAAGAAACCUCCGUGUCUUGGCUAAUGACCGUUUCCGAAGAAUGGGGAGGAUGGUUGGUGAACCUGCUUUCUAGCUGAGUGGAUUCGUGGAUAUUUGUACCCUUAUUUCACAGCGGCUGCUGUUUUAGUUACCAAUUGGACGUAAGAUAUCAAAAUUUUUUAUUAGGUAUUAAAAGAUGUCGUUAGGUUUCAAACUGUCGAAACUUAAUAAAAGCAACACAAAUU